rnacentral:rRNA from 1 species
GGACAUGACUCUCGGCAAUGGAUAUCUCGGCUCUCACAUCAAUGAAGAGCAUAACGAAAUGUGAUAUAUGGUGCGAAUUGCAGAAUCUCACAAACCAUCGAGUCUUUGAACGUAAGUUGUGCCCGAGGCCAGUUAGACGAGGGCACAUUCACCUGGGCAUCAAGC